rnacentral:rRNA from 1 species
CCUACGGGAGGCUGCAGUGAGGAAUAUUGGUCAAUGGACGAGAGUCUGAACCAGCCAAGUAGCGUGAAGGAUGACUGCCCUAUGGGUUGUAAACUUCUUUUAUCUGGGAAUAAAUUGUUCGGCGUGUGGGAUUUUGUAUGUACCAUAUGAAUAGGGAUCGGAGAACUCAGUGCCAGCAGCCGCGGUACUACGGAGGAUUCGAGCGUUAUCCGGAUUGAUUGGGUUUAAAGGGAGCGUAGGUGGUUUGUUAAGUGAGUUGUGAAAGUUUGCGGCUCAACCGUAAAAUUGCAGUUGAUAAUGGUAGUCGUGAGUACAGUAGAGGUGGGCGGAAUUCGUGGUGUAGCGGUGAAAUGCGUAGAGAUCACGAAGAACUCCGAUUGCGAAGGCAGCUCACUGGACUGCAACUGACACUGAGGCUCGAAAGUGUGGGGAUCAAACAGGAUUAGAUACCCGAGUAGUC